ACAUUCUCCUCAGCAAUGCUUACACUGAUACUGGCAUACAGAGAAGAUCAGCAUGGUCUUCGCACAAGGAUGGCACACAAACUUGUGAAGUGUUCCAUAUUUCC
ensembl:snRNA U6 U6 spliceosomal RNA